rnacentral:rRNA from 1 species
GACGAACGCUGGCGGCGUGCUUAACACAUGCAAGUCGAACGGAAAGGCCCUGCUUUUGUGGGGUGCUCGAGUGGCGAACGGGUGAGUAACACGUGAGUAACCUGCCCUUGACUUUGGGAUAACUUCAGGAAACUGGGGCUAAUACCGGAUAGGAGCUCCUGCUGCAUGGUGGGGGUUGGAAAGUUUCGGCGGUUGGGGAUGGACUCGCGGCUUAUCAGCUUGUUGGUGGGGUAGUGGCUUACCAAGGCUUUGACGGGUAGCCGGCCUGAGAGGGUGACCGGCCACAUUGGGACUGAGAUACGGCCCAGACUCCUACGGGAGGCAGCAGUGGGGAAUAUUGCACAAUGGGCGGAAGCCUGAUGCAGCAACGCCGCGUGCGGGAUGACGGCCUUCGGGUUGUAAACCGCUUUCGCCUGUGACGAAGCGUGAGUGACGGUAAUGGGUAAAGAAGCACCGGCUAACUACGUGCCAGCAGCCGCGGUGAUACGUAGGGUGCGAGCGUUGUCCGGAUUUAUUGGGCGUAAAGGGCUCGUAGGUGGUUGAUCGCGUCGGAAGUGUAAUCUUGGGGCUUAACCCUGAGCGUGCUUUCGAUACGGGUUGACUUGAGGAAGGUAGGGGAGAAUGGAAUUCCUGGUGGAGCGGUGGAAUGCGCAGAUAUCAGGAGGAACACCAGUGGCGAAGGCGGUUCUCUGGGCCUUUCCUGACGCUGAGGAGCGAAAGCGUGGGGAGCGAACAGGCUUAGAUACCCUGGUAGUCCACGCUGUAAACGGUGGGUACUAGGUGUGGGGUCCAUUCCACGGGUUCCGUGCCGUAGCUAACGCUUUAAGUACCCCGCCUGGGGAGUACGGCCGCAAGGCUAAAACUCAAAGGAAUUGACGGGGCCCCGCACAAGCGGCGGAGCAUGCGGAUUAAUUCGAUGCAACGCGUAGAACCUUACCUGGGUUUGACAUGGAUCGGGAGUGCUCAGAGAUGGGUGUGCCUCUUUUGGGGUCGGUUCACAGGUGGUGCAUGCCUGUCGUCAGCUCGUGUCGUGAGAUGUUGGGUUAAGUCCCGCAACGAGCGCAACCCUUGUUCACUGUUGCCAGCACGUUAUGGUGGGGACUCAGUGGAGACCGCCGGGGUCAACUCGGAGGAAGGUGGGGAUGACGUCAAGUCCUCAUGCCCCUUAUGUCCAGGGCUUCACGCAUGCUACAAUGGCUGGUACAGAGAGUGGCGAGCCUGUGAGGGUGAGCGAAUCUCGGAAAGCCGGUCUCGGUUCGGAUUGGGGUCUGCAACUCGACCUCAUGAAGUCGGAGUCGCUAGUAAUCGCAGAUCAGCAACGCUGCGGUGAAUACGUUCCCGGG